rnacentral:rRNA from 1 species
AUGGGAACGCGAAGAACCUUACCUACUCUUGACAUCCAGAGAACUUAGCAGAGAUGCUUUGGUGCCUUCGGGAACUCUGAGACAGGUGCUGCAUGGCUGUCGUCAGCUCGUGUUGUGAAAUGUUGGGUUAAGUCCCGCAACGAGCGCAACCCUUAUCCUUUGUUGCCAGCGGUCCGGCCGGGAACGUCAAAGGAGACUGCCAGUGAUAAACUAGGAGGAAGGUGGGGAUGGACGUCAAAUCAAUCAUGCCCCUUAUCGUCUAGGGCUACGACACGUGCUACAAUGGCGCAUACAAAGAGAAGCGACCUCGCGAGAGCAAGCGGACCUCACUAAAGUGCGUCGUAGUCCGGAUUGGAUCGUGCAACUCGACUCCAUGAAGUCGGAAU